UACGUAGGGCGCAAGCGUUAUCCGGAAUUAUUGGGCGUAAAGAGCUCGUAGGCGGUUUGUCGCGUCUGCCGUGAAAGUCCGGGGCUCAACUCCGGAUCUGCGGUGGGUACGGGCAGACUAGAGUGAUGUAGGGGAGACUGGAAUUCCUGGUGUAGCGGUGAAAUGCGCAGAUAUCAAGAGGAACACCUGCGGCGAAGGCGGGUUGCUGGGCCGACACUGACGCUGAAGCGCGAAAGCCAGGGGAGCGAACGGG
rnacentral:rRNA from 1 species